rnacentral:snoRNA from 1 species
ACCCUGCAUAUUCCAUACCCCUCUGUUCUAAAUACUGAUCUGAGUGGCUAAAAUAGGAGGGAAAACAGAAUGGAGGUGGACCUGGAGUCCUUAAUGGCAUACGAGUUUGUUUUAAAUGGAU